rnacentral:rRNA from 1 species
UACGAAGGGUGCAAGCGUUACUCGGAAUUACUGGGCGUAAAGCGUGCGUAGGUGGUUCGUUAAGUCUGUCGUGAAAGCCCCCGGCUCAACCGGGGAAUUGCGCCCUAAACUGCAAGGCUGGAGUGAGGUAGGGGUGUGUGGAACUUCUAGUGGAGCGGUGAAAUGUGUUGAUAUUAGAAGGAACGCCGGUGGCGAAAGCGACACACUGGACCUUGUCUGACGCUGAGGCACGAAAGCCAGGGGAGCAAACGGG